UUGUCUUUUAAUUUAGGACUGGAAUGAAAGGUUAGACUAUGCAGUUUUGUCUUAUAAUAAUAUUUUGAAUUUUAUAUUUUAGUAAAAAAGCUAAAAUUUUUCUUAAAGACGAGAAGACCCUAUCAAGCUUUACAAUUCUAAUUUAUUUUCAAACUAAAUGAAAUAUUGUUUUGCUGGGGCAGCAGAUAAAAAGUUUUUAUUUUUAUAUUGUGAUAAAUAAAUCUUGUUAAAUCAAAAAGUUUUUAAAAAAGAAUAAGUUACUGUAGGGAUAACAGCAUAAUUUUUUUAAAGAGUUCUUAUCAUCAAAAAAGUUUGUGACCUCGAUGUUGGAUUAAGAGACCUAAUUCGUGCAAUAAUGAAAAUAGGAAGUCUGUUCGA
rnacentral:rRNA from 1 species